GUCUGCGGGCUCCUAUGGUCCCAAGAAGGUGACGCUCUUAAGAAGAGUGUAAGCAAACCUCCAUUUUCGGCGGCAGCGGCAACUUCUCGAAAUGGAGCUCUGUGCCCCUCGCUUCCUCUCCAAUCUGCCCCACAAUGGAUCCUUCAAUCCGAGCCCUCCAUCUCUACACUCACGACCAUCUCUAACUCCAAAGAGAAUCCCAAUCUCACUCUCAAAAUCAGGAUUGAUAUACAUAGCUGCCUCCAUGCCAAGAGCUACAACGUCUGAUGAGACAUCUACAAGUACGUCGAAGCAGUUUGAGCAAGUACCUGAUGAAGCAACAACUGCCCAAGAAGUGCAGUUUGAAGCAGCAGAUGCAUCGAAAACUACUGAAGAAACUCCUAUGGAUGUACGGACACAGGUCAUUGAAUUUUUGAAUCAGCUCAAUACAAAGGUAACUCCAAUGGAUGUACAGAUACAGGUCAUUGAAUUUUUGAAUCAGCUCAAUAUGAAGCUGAGCUCGGGAGAUGCAUAUACCCUUCUUGGAUAUGGAAGUGGUGCUUCAGUGGCUCUGUGGAUCUCAUCAGCCCUUGUUGGUGCAAUUGACUCCAUCCCCUUGCUUCCGAAGGUGUUAGAAAUUAUUGGUCUUGGCUUCACGAUCUGGUUUAGCUAUCGCUAUGUAAUCUUUAAGAAAGAUAGGGAUGAGUUGUCAGCCAAAAUUGAAGAGUUUAAGCAGCAAAUUAUUGGGUCAACUGAUGACUGAUAUACGAAGGACUCUCAGAAAAGUAAGUAAUUGAGAAUGUCAAAUGUUUCACCAAAGACCAUAAGUAUCCUGAAGGUAUCUCUUGGUUGAUCCAUUUAUUGCUUUUGAGUCCCCUUGAAGCAAUAAUGUAGAAUGAAAGAAUAUUUGAAAGAAGAUCGUAACACAACCUAAUGCUUCACAUCUCCUGCUCGUUAGAUGAGCUCAUCGAGACAGCAUAGUAUGUGUGAGUGAUCGAGGGUUCAAUCCCUACUGUUAACAUGAAAAAAAGAAAGAAAAAUAAAAAGAAAAGAGAACCUAAUGCUUCAUCCUCUUCUUUGAUUGCCUUGUUGAAGCAAUUGAUCCAGCAGCGGGUAAUGUGUUGAAGAGUGAAGUGAUUGAUAAUAUGUGCUGUGCAGAGAGGCCCAUAGCCCAAAAUAACAAGCAAGGACCAAAAGAACCUGAUCAGAAAAGAUGGGCGAAGCCACUCGAGGAGGGGACAAGUCAAAUAUGUGGAUGUUCAAUUAAAAUGCCAUUCCAGAUACGUCAGCUGAUCUAGGCUUCAUUUACUAGAAACCAGUGUUCGUGUUGUUGGCAAUAUUAUUGAUAGUAUCGCGAUAAUAUCUUUUUCGGCAGCCUACUGACAUUGGCUCCCCCUUUAUUCGUAUCCCUCCCUGGUUUCGACGAGUUGUUGGCGAAAAUGGCGACAUUUUCGCACAUAA